AUUGAACGCUGGCGGAAUGCUUUACACAUGCAAGUCGAGCGGCAGCGCGGGGGCAACCCUGGUGGCGAGUGGCGAACGGGUGAGUAAUACAUCGGAACGUGCCCAAUCGUGGGGGAUAACGUAGCGAAAGUUACGCUAAUACCGCAUACGAUCUACGGAUGAAAGCGGGGGAUCGCAAGACCUCGCGCGAAUGGAGCGGCCGAUGUCAGAUUAGGUAGUUGGUGGGGUAAAGGCUCACCAAGCCGACGAUCCGUAGCGGGUCUGAGAGGAUGAUCCGCCACACUGGGACUGAGACACGGCCCAGACUCCUACGGGAGGCAGCAGUGGGGAAUUUUGGACAAUGGGCGCAAGCCUGAUCCAGCCAUGCCGCGUGAGUGAAGAAGGCCUUCGGGUUGUAAAGCUCUUUCGGUGGGGAAGAAAUUGCACAGGAUAAUACCUUGUGUAGAUGACGGUACCCGCAUAAGAAGCACCGGCUAACUACGUG
rnacentral:rRNA from 1 species